CGACUCCGGCGGCAGCCUCGGCGGUCUGGGCGGGGCGGGAAGCCCGCUUUCAACCCCGCGUACCCUCUGACCCCGGAAGUGCUUGUGCGCAGGACCCCUUGAAAAAAAAAAGAGGACCCAUGGUUUUUAGGUCACAAGAUUACGCCAAUCCCCAUGGAAUAGUUUUUUAGAAAACCCUUUUACCAGCCUAGCAUUGAAAAUAAAGCCCCGGUGGGUAAAAGCUGUGAGUCCGGCAAGGCUUAAAAACGAACAUGUAUUCUAUUAACCCUAGAGGCGCCGGCGGAUGAUUGGAAAUGUAGUGUUGUGAAUGACGGUGCGACACAUUAUUUUUCCUCUCUAUAAAAGCGAUCUGGACACGGAGCGACUCGGACAGCCCCGGGAGAAACUGCAGGCGGCAGCUAGGACGCCGCGGGUUUAAAACGUGCGCGUGAGGCAGCCAGAGCGCGUGCGCGAGGGUGUGGGGAGGAUGGGAGGGGCAACUGUGGUCUUCCGGGGGGGAGGGGCGGCGAGGCGAGGCCCGCUGGGCGGGCGCGGGCGCGGGCGCGGGCGCGCGCCGGCGGGCGGGCACGUGGGGCCCCUUCGUCCUCGGCGUCCGGGCGCCCCGCGCCAGCCCCCACCCCCUCCCCGCCACCGCGGAGGCGGCCUGUGAGGAGAAAGGCCGAAAGCCCUCCUGCGCCGCCGCCAAAUUCGCGGCUCUACUGAUGGUUUCUGGGAAGUGUUAGAAACAUGGCCAUAAAGAGUAUGGCGUCCAUUUACAUAAUGCUUUGUCUGCAUUUUGCAACUUUGUUAGACCCGCAGAAACCCCCACCUCCUGCGCAGGUGUUUAGUCGCUGCCACCUUGUCAGACAUUUCAGACAGUGGCGUUCAUUUAGGGCACCGCAUUUACCCGUGCUCGGGGAGUUCCUGCGGUUUUCCCCGCCAAGGUUAAGCUCCCGCUACUGCACAUCGGCCUUUUCCCGCAUGGUGCAGCCGCCGCGCCGCGCCCGCGCUCUCUGGGGGCGGCCCCCAACCGGGCCCGCCAUCUUGGAAGGCCUUUGCUGCCGAGUGUCCAGCCGCGGGUUCCUCUCGCUAAAGAAAGAUGAAAUCACUUAGAUGAAGUGACUAAUUCAAGGUCACGCACUGUUCAGGAUGGAAUUCAGACCUUCUGAUGUACUUAUUGGUGAGCACAUUUCCCAACUUUUCUCUUAAGUCAGGGUUUUAGAAUUUAAGUGCUAUUUGGAUGAGCUUGUCAUUAAAAGGAUCCCUCAGGUAACCUUUUGUUGCAUAGUCACCUGUUUGUAUCUGCUUGGGAGUUUUUCCUGGUGUGAGCUAUACCUGUAAGGGGCUCAGGUGCUAUUUUUUUAAAUGAGGUGUCUGGGUGAGGAUGGAGAGGAGGAAGUGAUUCAGCCCUGCAUCAGACCUCAAGUAUCUGUCAGUCCAGCCUGGUCUCUGGCACAACUGAGUCUACCUGGCUCUGUGGAAGCAAACAAUUUCUUUCUCUGUAUGACUCAGUUGCUUCCUUCAGCUACCCAUGGGCAUGAGCAUGACUUCCGCCUUCCCCACCCCAACCUCCACCCAGGUAAAAAUAAAUAAAAUAAAUUUGCUCUGGCGCCA
rnacentral:lncRNA from 1 species